CCUACGGGAGGCAGCAGUGAGGAAUAUUGGUCAAUGGACGAGAGUCUGAACCAGCCAAGUAGCGUGAAGGAUGACUGCCCUAUGGGUUGUAAACUUCUUUUAUAUGGGAGUAAAAUCUUCCACGUGUGGGCUUUUGUAUGUACCUUAUGAAUACGGAUCGGCUAACUCCGUGCCAGCAGCCGCGGUAAUACGGAGGAUCCGAGCGUUAUCCGGAUUUAUUGGGUUUAAAGGGAGCGUAGGUGGAUUGUUAAGUCAGUUGUGAAAGUUUGCGGCUUAAACGUAAAAUUGCCGUUGAAACUGGCAGUCUUGAGUACACUAGAGGUGGGCGGAAUUCGUGGUGUAGCGGUGAAAUGCAUAGAUAUCACGAAGAACUCCGAUUGCGAAGGCAGCAUACUGGACUGCAACUGACACUGAGGCUCGAAAGUGUGGGUAUCAAACAGGAUUAGAUACCCUAGUAGUC
rnacentral:rRNA from 1 species